AGCGAACGCUGGCGGCAGGCCUAACACAUGCAAGUCGAACGAACUCUUCGGAGUUAGUGGCGGACGGGUGAGUAACACGUGUGAACGUGCCUUUUGGUUCGGAAUCACUCAGGGAAACUUGUGCUAAUAACGAAUGUGCCCUUCGGGGGAAAGAUUUCUCGCCAUUAGAGCGGCCCGCGUCUGAUUAGCUGGUUGGUGAGGUAACGGCUCACCAAGGCGUCGAUCAGUAGCUGGUCUGAGCGGAUGACCAGCCACACUGGGACUGAGACACGGCCCAGACGCCUACGGGAGGCAGCAGUGGGGAAUCUUGCGCAAUGGGCGCAAGCCUGACGCAGCCAUGCCGCGUGAAUGAGGCAGGUCUUAGGAUUCUAAAAUUCUUUCAGCGGGGACGAUAAUGACGGUACCCGGAGAAGAAGCCCCGGCUAACUUCGUG
rnacentral:rRNA from 1 species